AGAACGAACGCUGGCGGCAGGCUUAACACAUGCAAGUCGAACGCCCCGCAAGGGGAGUGGCAGACGGGUGAGUAACGCGUGGGAAUCUACCCAGAUCUUCGGAACAACUGAGGGAAACUUCAGCUAAUACCGGAUACGCCCGUACGGGGGAAAGAUUUAUCGGUUCUGGAUGAGCCCGCGUUGGAUUAGCUAGUUGGUGAGGUAAAAGCUCACCAAGGCGACGAU
rnacentral:rRNA from 1 species